GGUCGGAACGAGUUCUCGUUGAUGAUCGGUGCUUGCACCGAGAUUCAACAUGGAACGAGUGGCGGACGGGUGAGUAACACGUGGGUAACCUGCCCUUAAGUGGGGGAUAACAUUUGGAAACAGAUGCUAAUACCGCAUAGAUCCAAGAACCGCAUGGUUCUUGGCUGAAAGAUGGCGUAAGCUAUCGCUUUUGGAUGGACCCGCGGCGUAUUAGCUAGUUGGUGAGGUAAUGGCUCACCAAGGCGAUGAUACGUAGCCGAACUGAGAGGUUGAUCGGCCACAUUGGGACUGAGACACGGCCCAAACUCCUACGGGAGGCAGCAGUAGGGAAUCUUCCACAAUGGACGCAAGUCUGAUGGAGCAACGCCGCGUGAGUGAAGAAGGCUUUCGGGUCGUAAAACUCUGUUGUUGGAGAAGAAUGGUCGGCAGAGUAACUGUUGUCGGCGUGACGGUAUCCAACCAGAAAGCCACGGCUAACUACGUGCCAGCAGCCGCGGUAAUACGUAGGUGGCAAGCGUUAUCCGGAUUUAUUGGGCGUAAAGCGAGCGCAGGCGGUUUUUUAAGUCUGAUGUGAAAGCCCUCGGCUUAACCGGAGGAAGCGCAUCGGAAACUGGGAAACUUGAGGUGCAGAAGAGGGACAGUGGAACUCCAUUGGUGUAAGGGCGGGGUGGAAAAUGCGGUUAAGAUUAUAUGGGAAAGA
rnacentral:rRNA from 2 species